UACGUAGGGUGCAAGCGUUGUCCGGAAUUAUUGGGCGUAAAGGGCUCGUAGGCGGUUUGUCGCGUCGGGAGUGAAAACCUACAGCUUAACUGUGGGCUUGCUUUCGAUACGGGCAGACUUGAGGCAUGCAGGGGAGAACGGAAUUCCUGGUGUAGCGGUGAAAUGCGCAGAUAUCAGGAGGAACACCGGUGGCGAAGGCGGUUCUCUGGGCAUGUUCUGACGCUGAGGAGCGAAAGUGUGGGGAGCGAACAGG
rnacentral:rRNA from 1 species